CAUCGAAGCGUUACUCAAGUAACAGGAAGAGAGAGUGAGAGAAAAUUGUGGCGAAAGGGUACAGCAGGGGUCGCCACCACCCCAUGCCGGAGUCACGUGGAGCAUUUAGGUGCUUUCGAUCAAUAAACAUACAAGACGCCCGGUCUGGGAAUCGAAACUACCAUCCUUCGACCACGAGUCCGCUGCCCUAACCACUCGGCCAUUGCGCCUCCACACAUGAGUUCAUCAAGUGCAAUAGAUACAAUA